rnacentral:rRNA from 1 species
GCAGAGCAUCCUACGGGAGGCAGCAGUGGGGAAUAUUGCACAAUGGGCGCAAGCCUGAUGCAGCCAUGCCGCGUGUAUUGAAGAAGGCCUUCGGGUUGUAAAGUACUUUCAGCAGUGAGGAAGGUGGGUAUGUUAAUAGCAUAUUCAUUUGACGUUAGCUGCAGAAGAAGCACCGGCUAACUCCGUGCCAGCAGCCGCGGUAAUACGGAGGGUGCGAGCGUUAAUCGGAAUUACUGGGCGUAAAGCGCAUGCAGGUGGUUUGUUAAGUCAGAUGUGAAAGCCCGGGGCUCAACCUCGGAAUUGCAUUUGAAACUGGCAAACUAGAGUACUGUAGAGGGGGUAGAAUUUCAGGUGUAGCGGUGAAAAUGCGUAGAGAUCUGAAGGAAUACCGGUGGCGAAGGCGGCCCCCUGGACAGAUACUGACACUCAGAUGCGAAAGCGUGGGGAGCAAACAGGAUUAGAUACCCUGGUAG